GAUCGUGCCAUUGCACUCCAGCCUGGGUAACAAGAGCUAAACUCCGUCUCAAAAAUAAAUGAAUAUAGAUGAGAAGGACAAUUAGAAGUAUGAUUAGAUGGAAAGCAACAGAAAUAGAGAGCUUGUGCAGUGUAGACCUAGUUUUAGGGGUGACUGCAUACAGUCCUUUGUAAAUAGCAAAGUUAAGAGAAGAAUUCCUGUCAAUGUUAGAAUAUACUCUAAACUCGUGUGGUGGUGUCUACUCUUCAGGAAUUCGAGUUAGCUUAAGAGAAGUAGGAGAGAGUACUUGUGACUUCCAAGGGGAGGUGGGUGGGCUAGGCUGGUCAUAUGAUGGACACAGUUUGAUCCUGAACCAGUGAACCCGGUGGGGAGGGUCUUGUAGAUGGACAGCAGUUGGGGUACUGUAGACAGUCAGGUAGGGGCCUUUCCACUAAGGCUGUAGAGCAGGAGAGGUUAGAUCCUUAACCAGCACUGAUUGUUCAGCUGAGGUGUCCUCAUAAGGCCAGGUAUCUGGAGUUAGGUUAAGAGGAGAUUAUUAGCAGCUUGACUAAUUUCCUGCCUAGUUUGAUGGAGAAGGGGAAGAUUGUGUCCAAGAGGGCUAGUUUCUGGGAGGUUAGGCCCAAGCAAAAAGGUGUGGCCAUACAAGAGUUCAAAGGGGCUGUAUCCUGUGUGUUUCCAGGGAGUGGCAUGAAUUCGGAGAAGAGCAAUAGGUAGAAGGCAUACCCAGUUCUUUAGUUGAAGGGUAAGCUUGGUAAGGUGUGUUUUUAGGAGGCCAUUAGGUUUCUCUACUUUUCCUGAUGACGGAGGGUGGUAAGGGGCAUGGAGAUUCUAUUGAAUGCUAAGGGACUGAGAGAGUGCUUGGGUGAGAAGUUUCAGCAGGCAUGCUUCAGAGAAUUAUAUCUUGAAGCAGUGUUUGUGUCCUGAGUUCAUUUUCCAUCUGGCCUCUUGACUUUGGCUU